rnacentral:rRNA from 1 species
UACGGAGGGUGCAAGCGUUAUCCGGAUUCACUGGGUUUAAAGGGUGCGUAGGCGGCGCGACAAGUUGGGUGUGAAAUCCCUCGGCUCAACCGAGGAACUGCGCCCAAAACUGUCGUGCUCGAGGGAGACAGAGGUGAGCGGAACUUAGGGUGGAGCGGUGAAAUGCGUUGAUAUCCUAAGGAACACCGGUGGCGAAAGCGGCUCACUGGGUCUCUGCUGACGCUGAGGCACGAAAGCUAGGGUAGCGAACGGG